rnacentral:sRNA from 1 species
AUCGAAACUUCGAACGCAUCUUGCGCUCCCGGGAUAUGCCUGGGAGCAUGCUUGUCGGGGAGGAGGAGGCGAAAACUCGCCCACAGCUUUGGGUUCGAUCUCGAUCUCAAGGCGGUGGAGCGGAAUCUGAGUGUUCCGGGGAGCGGUGGUGUGGUGUGUAUUUUUGUACAAGCUGCCUGCUCGUCCCCUGAGUCCACCAAAGCCUAGAGAGCUACCGAUUGUCCAGGCUUCUAUUGUCUUUGCGGCGCUGUAGACCGGUCCAUCUUGCGUCCUCCGGAAGAUCCGUUGUUGACCGCGCCCCCUCUCACGGGGCGGGGACACCGACGAGUCGCCAGGGAUGUGCGCGGGUGACCAUGAGGCCUCGCUGGAGGCAAGUUUACCUUGCGUCCUCCGGAGGAUCCGUUGUUGACGGCGCCCCUCUCGCGGGGUGGGGACACGACGGGUCGCCGGGGAUGUGCGCGGGCGGCUUUGAGGCUCGUGGACGGUAGGUAGUCUCGAGAGUGUGCCGGUGAGAGGCCGGUGAUGAUGAUUAUGCCAUACCCCCGAUCAAGCAAGAAGACCCGCUGAAUUUAAGCAUAUACUAAGCGGAGGA